ACUAGGACUUUUAUCUAAUUGUGUCUCCUACUAUUUUAUCAAACUUCAUACUCUUCAAAUAUGAAAAUCGAGAAACAUACUAAUAUUUCUUAGUGAGGUUGAGAUCCCUAUUUCUCACAAACAUCUUGUGGAUAGCAUAAUAAGUAUUCAUGAGUUCCAGAGUAGGUAACUCUUUAUCACUUAUACCUUUAUAAUUUUUAACAUCAUUUACUCUGGCCUCU
rnacentral:lncRNA from 1 species